CAGCAGCCGCGGUAAUACGUAGGGUGCGAGCGUUGUCCGGAAUUACUGGGCGUAAAGGGCUCGUAGGUGGUUUGUCGCGUCGUCUGUGAAAUUCCGGGGCUUAACUCCGGGCGUGCAGGCGAUACGGGCAUAACUUGAGUACUGUAGGGGUAACUGGAAUUCCUGGUGUAGCGGUGAAAUGCGCAGAUAUCAGGAGGAACACCGAUGGCGAAGGCAGGUUACUGGGCAGUUACUGACGCUGAGGAGCGAAAGCAUGGGUAGCGAACAGGAUUAGAUACCCUGGUAGUCCAUGCCGUAAACGGUGGGCGCUAGGUGUGAGGGUCUUUUCACGACUUUCGUGCCGUAGCUAACGCAUUAAGCGCCCCGCCUGGGGAGUACGGCCGCAAGGCUAAAACUCAAAUAAAUUGACGG
rnacentral:rRNA from 1 species